rnacentral:misc_RNA from 1 species
AAACCUGUAGUGAACCUUUUCCUUGAAAAGGCAUCAGAGAAAUCAGCACAGGUUCAGGAAUUGGCCAAACCCCACCUCAAGACCAUCAAAACUAAAUGGAUCCCUGUUGACAAGGAUCUGUGGGUAACAUUUACAACUCAUGUUGGACCCUAUGUGGAUACAGUAUCUACUAAAACUGUUGAGUUCUAUACGAUAUGCAGAAGUAGCAUUACACCACAUGUUAUCAAAGUGCAGGAAUUUGCCUAUCCUCAUUUACAGAAAGUUUCGGAGUCAGCAAAGCCUCAUAUUGACAAGAUCUCUUCCUUCACAAAACCUCAUGUAGAGAAAGUGCGUGCUGUUUUGAAGCCUUACACAGAGCAUCUAGCCCAUGCUUACGGGGAGUUUCUAAAAUCUGCAACGUUGUAUCAUCAGCAGGCCGAAGCUCUCAUCCAGGAGAAGCUAAAGAAGCAUGAACUAACAAAUUCUCUAGCAACCAAAGAGUUGGUCUGGUUUAUGGCCUCUGCAUUGUUGGCUCUUCCCGUAUUCGUUCUCUACAGAAUCUUUU